AUGAGUGUUACAUUUUGCAAGGGCUUGCUGAAUGAGUAUGCCGCAAAGCUCAUUGUAAAACCACCCACAUACAACACUGUGGAGUAUAUGAAGGUGUAUCCAUAUUUUGUAUGCACUAUAGAUUUCAACUGUACAAGUUACAUUGGAGAUCCAGCUAGAAGAAAAAAGGAUGCGAAGGAUUUAGCAGCUUAUGUCUCCAUUCUUUCAAUCCUAGAUAACUCUGACUCGGGGAUAUGCUUGUUCAGAUGA